rnacentral:rRNA from 1 species
UGGGGAAUAUUGCACAAUGGGGGAAACCCUGAUGCAGCGACGCCGCGUGAGCGAUGAAGUAUUUCGGUAUGUAAAGCUCUAUCAGCAGGGAAGAAGAUGACGGUACCUGACUAAGAAGCCCCGGCUAACUACGUGCCAGCAGCCGCGGUAAUACGUAGGGGGCAAGCGUUAUCCGGAUUUACUGGGUGUAAAGGGAGCGUAGACGGCGGCGCAAGCCAGAUGUGAAAGCCCGGGGCUCAACUCCGGGACUGCAUUUGGAACUGUGUGGCUGGAGUGUCGGAGAGGCAGGCGGAAUUCCUAGUG